AUCUAGGCUCUUGCAUCGAUGAAGAACGUAGCGAAAUGCGAUACUUGGUGUGAAUUGCAGAAUCCCGUGAACCAUCGAGUCUUUGAACGCAAGUUGCGCCCGAUGCCAUUAGGUUGAGGGCACGUCUGCCUGGGCGUCACAUAUCGAAGCCUCCUGCCAAUUUC
rnacentral:rRNA from 3 species